UUGCAGCCAGUUAAGCCGACUGUGCUCUUUUCCUCAUGGGGGCCCAGUGUGCAGUGGCUGCAGACAGCAGCCUCCUUGGUAGUGUAUGCAGCCUGUUGCCUGUACAGGUUGCCCUAAGGGACCUUGGAGACACUC
ensembl:snoRNA SNORA70 Small nucleolar RNA SNORA70